GUGGCUCAGUGGAUAGAGCGUCGGCCUGCGGACCGAAGGGUCCCAGGUUCGAUUCCUGGC
rfam:Myotis davidii contig12388, whole genome shotgun sequence.